AUACGUAGGUGGCAAGCGUUGUCCGGAAUUAUUGGGCGUAAAGCGCAUGUAGGCGGUUUGGUAAGUCGGUCGUGAAAAUGCGGGGCUUAACGCCGUAUGGCGAUUGAAACUGCUGAACUUGAGUGCAGGAGAGGAAAGGGGAACUCCCAGGGUAGCGGUGAAAUGCGUAGAUAUUGGGAAGAACACCGGUGGCGAAGGCGCCUUUCUGGACUGUGUCUGACGCUCAGAUGCGAAAGCCAGGGUAGCGAACGGGAUUAGAUACCCCGGUAGUCCUGGCCGUAAACGAUGGGUACUAGGUGUGGGAGGUAUCGACUCCUUCCGUGCCGGAGUUAACGCAAUAAGUACCCCGCCUGGGGAGUACGGCCGCAAGGCUUAAACUCAAAUGAAUUGGCGGGG
rnacentral:rRNA from 1 species